rnacentral:rRNA from 1 species
GUCUGUGGCCAUGCUACCCUGAACAAGCCCGAUCCCAUCUGAUCUUGGAAGCCAAGCAGGGUUGGGCCUGGUUAGUACUUGGAUGGGUAGACCACCUAGGAAGACCAGGUGCUGUAGGCG